rnacentral:rRNA from 1 species
UACGUAGGGUGCGAGCGUUGUCCGGAAUUAUUGGGCGUAAAGAGCUCGUAGGCGGUUUGUCGCGUCGACUGUGAAAACCCGAGGCUUAACCUCGGGCCUGCAGUCGAUACGGGCAGACUAGAGUUCGGUAGGGGAGACUGGAAUUCCUGGUGUAGCGGUGAAAUGCGCAGAUAUCAGGAGGAACACCGAUGGCGAAGGCAGGUCUCUGGGCCACUACUGACGCUGAGAAGCGAAAGCGUGGGGAGCGAACAGG